GGCUGCAUGAAAAGGACAAAAACAGUAAUAUACACACCAGUAAGGAACGGCAUUGGCAUGCUCCGCCUCCUGUGGGCAGCCUGGGGAUGAGGUCAUUUUCCAAAACAGGGAGCUGGUCAGCAUUUUCCAUGCCCAGGGCAAGUUCCCCUUGAUGGACAGCACCUAAUGACCAGCGCUGAGUCAGUCUAGGAGCAGAAAGACUGGAAACCCUGGAGUAGGGGCCACGUCAGCAUGACUCACUCAAGCAACGGCAAAUUCUCACAGCAACAACAUGAAACGCCCUCCAGGGUGAUGACUGUGGGAGCAAAACUGACCGGAACCUGGGCGGUGCAUGCACUGUGCACCCUCCUGGUUAACAGCCCCACGGCCCGAGAGCUGUGCUUUACAUGAAUGUCUUCUGUUAAAGCAGCUCGUGUGGCUUCUGCACCCUGGUGGAGCCAACACACGUGCCUGUCACGGAGGUGAGGAGUGAGUGAGUUCUCACCAGCAUUUGACGCUGACCUUCCGGAGACAUGGCGUCCCUGAGAGCCUGCAGCCUGCCAGAGCAGAGAGCCACCCGCUGGCCGUUCUGUUGGAAUUUCGGAGUUCCUGUCUUUCAGGCAACAUCUGCCAAGCGCGGUUUGUGUAAGGAAACCCAUUCUGUCGUGUCUGCCGGGGCCCAGGGCGGCUGCUGUGCGGGAACCAGCUUUUGUGGCCCAUGGAGCAACGACUCAGUCUGGGGCUCGGCUACUCUCCGGCCCGGGGUACUGGCAUUUCCCUGGGGCCCAUGGGGCGAGUGCCCCUAUUUUUCCCAUGAGGCCUCAGCCAAGAGGAGGUUCGGGAAGAAAGGAAAACACAGAGAAGCAGAGGAACACGUCAUGGAGACGGACCGAGUUGAAGGAGCCAGGGAUGGUGACAAGCGGAAGGAAGUGUGUUUUGUCCCCAUCCAGGGAAGCUUUUGUUUCAUGAGACUUACUUGCGCACGUCUGGUAGCUGCCCUGGACAUUCAUGGACUUUCGUUUUCACUCAGAUUUUGUGGUUCACGUGACACAAAGCAUGAGGACAUCACUGGGCGAGAGGGCCAGGUCACCCCACUGCCGAGGGGCACGCCCCAGCUGUGCACCGCUAGAGUGGGCUUGUCCAGUCCUCGGACACGGGGACAGGGUGUGCCCAUCUCAUGUAAGACAUGAAUAAUAGUAGAAAUUUCUGUUGCAUGAGAACUCUCUGCAUUAUCCUCACCAUUUUCCUGUAAGCGUAAAACGUCUAAAACUUUUUUAUGAGCACACUAAUUCCUCACUUAAGGUCGUCAUUAGGUUCUUGGAAAUGGCAACUUUAAACAAAAGGACAGACAGCAGGUCCUCAAAUAACAUUCUUUCCUUCAACAUCAUUUCAUCCUAAGGAGAAAAAAAUGGAUUUUGUUACAUAUCCUGGUUCAUUUCCAAGAACCAGGUGGGCAUAGAAUUGACCAAAGGUGGAGGAGAACAGAUGUGCGGCUCCGUCCUGGCUGUGUGGCUCCGUCCUGUGGACUAAUGCGUGUGGACAGUCAGGAACACUUUCAGGACAAUGUGGGUGGCCUGCCAAUGGGACCUAUUCCAGAGGUCUGAGAAGAAACCGUUGUUUAACCUAGAAUCCUGCUAGGAAUCAAACUAGCUUUGACAGGAAAAGGAAAAAGAAUGAGGACUCUGAACAGGGACAGACUCAGAACAAUUCUUAUCCACUCAUAGUUUAGGAAAUAAUCUUACAGCAUGUGCUCCACCAGGGUCACCAACUGUCCCAAUUUGCUUGGGACUGAAGGUUUGUUUGUUUUUGUUUCUUUGUUUUGAGACAGAGCGUCUCUCUCUGUUACCCAGGCUAGAGUGCAAUGGCGUGAUUUUAGCUCACUACAACCUCCACUUUCCAGGUUCAAGCAAUUCUCCUGUCUCAGCCUCCCUGAGUGGCAGGGAUUACAGGAACCCACCACCAUGCUGGCUAAUUUUUCAAUAUUUAGUAGAGAUGGGGUUUCACCAUGUUGGCCAGGCUGGUCUCGAACUCCUGACCUCAAGUGAUCCACUUGCCUCAGCUCCCAAAGUGCUGGGAUUACAGGCAUGAGCCACCGUGCCCAGCCUACUGAGGGGUUUUUAUGGACAUGGGACUUUUAAUGCUAACACUAGGACAGUCUCUGUCAGACUGAGAUGAUGGUCACUCUUUGGCCAAACACCUCCACCACUGCCCCGCAACAUCCAUAAUAGCAACAGUUUGAGUAAAGACACAAGUACCAUUUGCGGUCCAAAUACUUGAGUGUGUAAACGGUGCAUUGGGUGUGCACAGCGGUACCCAGAAUCUCCAACUAGCUCCUCAUGAGCUGGGUGGGGCAUGCAGGGAAGGAGGCAAAGCUUCCCACCUGUCUGGGGAGGCUGUGGGCUCCACCUCUGCAGACUUUGGUAGGAGACCAGUGUUCAUGCAGUUGUAGUAAUGCACGUGUAGCUUAGGGUUUUUUUGGGACUAAACUAUGGACAAAGCACAGAACUCAGUUGUCUCUGUAGAAAAGGGUGGCCUGUCACCCGGUACCAGGUGAGGGGAGUGUGGCAGUGGCAAGAGCACCUGGUGGUGGCCGAGAGGAGGCACGGAGGAGAGUCAGGGUACCGUGCCCUCAUGGAGUGAGUGCGGAAGACAAAACAACAGACACAGUUGUAAUGACAUUACUUUAUUUGGGGUUAAAUUAGGGUGCACAUCACAGAAAAUCCUCAAACCACAGGGAAUGAAAUGGAAGUUGUUUCUCUCUGGUAAAACAAGUCUGAAAGCUGCAGUGUCAUCAGAUCCACGGCCCUGCAUCUCUGCCACACCCCACCAUGCACCUCCAGUCCUCCCGGCCUGUGGCUUCCAGGGCUCCAGGAACUAGGGAGGGACAGACACUGGGAUCUUCUGCCAUGAAGCAGAGAGGGAUGCUGGGGAAACACAUGGGCACUCGCUGCCACAAGUGCCUCCUGGAAAAGCAAAACCCAAUGCCAUGGCUGCCUCCCUCCGGCAGCACCAGCACGAGUGAGCCAGAUCCUCACCUUUGAUCAUCAAGGCUGAGAGGUAAUAUCUGAGGUCGACAGAUCAAGAAGUAGAGACAAAAGCAAACCAGGCUGGUGGUAAAGAGGAGGAAUGACCGUAAGAUGCCUCUGAAAAGUGGGAAUAUGGGGAAUCUCCUCUUGGUUUCUGGUUGCACAUGUGAAUUUAUUGAAAACUGAAUAUAUUAAGAUGUGAGCUUAGGAGUUGGCAGCCUGUGGCAUGGGGAGGUGUGGGAAGUGGACAGUCUCAGGUCAGGGUGGGCUGGAAAGUGGUGCCACCUCGAGAACAGUAGGUUAACAUCUACCCCCAGUGACGACAUUCAAACCUUCAUCCAGCAUCCACUUCCAGGGGACAUUUUCACAAAAUAUUCACGAGAGCACACAAAAUAUACAAAGGAUGACGAGGGUUGAACAUUGUUGUGACAAAACAUGGGAAGCAACUUAAGUGCCAUCUGUGGGAAACGGUCUAGUGGUGGAGCUGUGGGGCUGUGGGAUACUGUGGGCGGGUGAGAAACGGAGAGGCGUCUCCAAGCAUCAGUGGGAUAAAAUUGCUCUAUCUGUAUUUUCAAAGGAGAAAAAGAACAAGCCCCAAGCUGUGCAUUUACACGGGGACAUGAGUACAUCCAUCUGUAAUGCGUCUGUCACCCCACAACAGGAGGGGUUAGCUGUGCGUGGGGAGAGGGUGAAGAAGGGCUUUUGCCUGGUGCUAGACUGCCUGGGUUCAAAUCCUGCUCCUACUUAGUGCUGUGCAAUUUGGGCAAAAUACCUAAACCUCUCUGUGCCUUCAUUUCCACCUCUCUAAAGCGGGGUCUGUGACAAUGCCCACUCCUCAUUCAUAAGGUGGUGGUGAGGAUUAAAUGAGCUGAUGCCCUCACAAGGUGUUUGUCCAUCAGUGAUAGGGUUUGGCUGUGGCCCCUGUGUCCCCACCCAAAUCUCAUCUUGAAUUGUAAUCCUCAUAAUCCCCACGUGUCGAGGGAGGGAUCCCGUGGGAGGUGAUCAGAUCAUGGGGGUGGUUCCCCCAUGCUGUCCUCAUGAUAAUGAGUGAGUUCUCACGAGAUCUGAUGGUUUUAUAAGGCAGUUUCCCUGCUCUUACACGCUCUCUUUUGCCUGCCGCCAUAUAAGACAUGGCUUUUCCCUUUCCACCAUGAUUGUAAGUUUCCUGAGGCCUCCCCAGUCAUACAGAACUGUGAAUCAAUUUAACCUCUUUCCUUUAUAAAUUGCUCAGUCUGAGGUAGUUCUUUAUAGCAGUAUGAGAAUGAACUAACACAGUAAAUUGGUACUGCGGAGAGUAGAGUAUUGCUAUAAAGAUACCCAAAAUGUGGAAGCAACUAUGGAACUGGGUAACAGACAGAGAUUGGAACAGUUUGGAGGGCUCAGAAAAAAGACAGGAAGAUGUGGGGAAGAUUGGAACAUCCUAGAGACUUGUUGAAUGGUUUUGACCAAAAUGCUGAUAGUGAUGUGGACAAUAAAGUCCAGGCUGCGGUGGUCUCAGAUGGAGAUGAGGAACUUCUUGGGAACUGGAGUAAAGGUCACUCUUGCUACGCUUUAGCAGAGACUGGUGGCAUUUUGCCCCUGCCCUGAGAUCUGUGGAACUUUGAACGUGAGAGAGAUAACCUGAAAUUGGAACACAUGUUUACGAAGAAGCAGAGCAUUAACAUUUGGAAAAUUUGCAGCCUGACAAUAUGAUAGAAAAGAAAAACCCAUUUUCUGGGGAGAAAUUCAAGCUGGCUGCAGAAGUUUGCAUAAGUAACGAGGAGCCAAAGGUUAGUCACCAAGACAAUGGGGAAAAUGUCUCCAGGGCAUGUCAGAGGCUUCGCAGCAGCCCCUCUUAGCACAGGUCUAGGAGGGAAAAAUGGCUUCAUGGGCCAAGUCUAGGGCCCCACUGCUCUGUGCAGCCUCUGGACUGGAUGCCUUCUGUCCUAGCUGCUGCCACUCAAACUCCAGUCGUGGCUAAAAGGGGCCACAUACAGCUCAGGCUGCUGCUUCAGCGGGUGCAAGCCGGAAGCCUGCACAGAAUUCAAGAAUUGAGGUUUGGGAACUUCUGCCUAGAUGUCAGAGGAAGUAUGGAAACAGCUGGCUGUCUAGGCAAAAGUUUGCUGCAAGGGUGGAACCCUCAUGGAGAACGUUAGGGCAGUGAGGAAGGGAAAUAUGGGGCUGUAGCCCCCAUAACAGAGUACCCACUGGGUCACUGCCUAGUGGAGCUGUAAGAAGAGGGCCACCAUCCUCCAGAUCCCAGAAUGUAGUCCCACUGACAGCUUGCACUGUGGCCUGGAAAAGCUGCAGACACUCAAUGCCAGCCCACGAAAGCAGCCAGGAGGGGGGCUGUACCUUACAAAGCCACAGGAGCAGAGCUGCCCAAGACCAUGGGAACCCACCUCUUUCAUAAGCGUGACCUGGAUGUGAGACAUGGAGUCAAAGGAGAUCAUUUGGGAGCUUUAAGAUUUAAUGAUUGCCUCACUGGAUUUUGGACUUACAUGGGGCCUAUAGCCCCUUUGUUUUGGCCAAUUUCUCCCAUUUGAAAUGGAAUCAUUUACCUAAUGCCUGUACGCCCAUUGUAUCUUGGAAGUAACUAACUUGGUUUUGAUUUUACAGGCUCAUAGGUGGAAGGGACUUGCCUUGUCUCAGAUGAGACUUUGGACUUGGACUUUUGAGUUAAGACUUUGGGGGACAGUUGGAAGGGCAUUAUUGUGUUUUGAAAUGGGAGGACAUGAGAUUGGGGAGGGGCCAGGGGCAGAAUGAUAAUGGUUUGGCUGUUUCUCCACCCAAAUCUCAUCUUGAAUUGUAAUCCCCAUAAUCCCCAUAUAUCGAGGGAGGGACAUGUUGGGAGGUGACUGGAUCUUAGGGGUGGUUUCCCCCAGUUGUUCUCAUAGUAAUGAGUUCUCACAAGAUCUGAUGGUUUUAUAAGGCAGUUUUCCCUGCUCUUGCUCGCUCUGUCUUGCCUGCCGCCCUGUAAGACGUGCCUCUUCCCCUUCUGCCAUAAUGGUAAGUUCCUUGAGGCCUCCCCAGCCAUGCAGAGCCAUGAGUCAAUUAAACCUCUUUUCUUUAUAAAUUACCCAGUCUCGGGUAGUAUCUUUACAGCAGUGAGAGAACAGACUAAGACAAUCAGCUUCUAUGUUGUUGGCAGUUUUACCAUGAGCAUGGAUUCCUAUAUUCCUUCUGAAAUUUUCUUUAAAAGUGUAAGCUUAUAUAGAAAGUAUAUUCGACACUCACAACCCUUCCCAGCCAUAAAAGACAGUGGGGUGUGAGUGUGUGGGAUGGGAUGCAGCAAUGGCAGCCCAGUAACAACAGCAGUGCGUGCCGGGAACAGCUCAGCAGCAGGGCAGGUCAGGGCUAACCCAGUUAACUCAAUGCAGGCUCCCUACACCAAGUGAUUUGGUUUGCAAAUAAAUAUUAUUUGUUUCUGUUUUAAUGUGUAAACAGAGCACCUGAAUUACACAGUAAUGUAACUCUGAAAAUUGCUAAAUUUCUACCUGACUUUAUGCUUGGGAGAAACAGUCUGGGAGCUGAGGACCACUCACCCCACAGGGGUCGCAGCAGAAGGAAGAGCAGGCACGGACCUCGUAGGGCCCCACUGAACAAUGGGGCUCUGGCCACAGCACUGCCCGGUGACGAAAGUAGGAGGGAGGUUUUGACAAGCAUUGCUCAGAGUGUUAUUGGAUCCUGAUGCUUUCUAUCAAAGAUGAACUUUGUCAAAAGUAUUUUAGCUUCCUAUCAUUAUAUGGAGUACUCCACAUUAAAGAAAAAAAGCCAGGUAUGUGAUACUCCCGCUGCUAUGGCCACCUGGAGAGGAGAGGCCGCUCACCAGGCCUGCAUGUGUGAAGGGUGACCUCAGGUCACAGCAGGAAAUGAGAGUGGGCCUGUGGGGUUAGACUGGAUCUGGAGGCACAGGCAUGAGCUCAGGGUUUCCAAUACAUAAAAAUAGGCAUCAUAAUGAAUGUAAAUGUGCAGACACAAACAU
rnacentral:lncRNA from 1 species